UACGUAGGGGGCAAGCGUUGUCCGGAAUCAUUGGGCGUAAAGAGCGUGUAGGCGGCUCGGUAAGUCCGCUCUGAAAGCCCGGGGCUCAACCCCGGGAGGCGGGCGGAUACUGUCGAGCUAGAGUCCGGAAGAGGCGAGUGGAAUUCCUGGUGUAGCGGUGAAAUGCGCAGAUAUCAGGAGGAACACCAAUGGCGAAGGCAGCUCGCUGGGACGGUACUGACGCUGAGACGCGAAAGCGUGGGGAG
rnacentral:rRNA from 2 species